UAUAUAUAUAUAUAUAUAUAUAUAUAUAUAUAUAUAUAUAUCAGCUCCCAUUUGUUUUAGUAAAUCUCUUUUGAUGAUGGAGCAUGUUAAUAGCAGUUAGACUAAUUAAUUCAGAUUUUUAAGUGAUGGUUGAUAAUAAGCUCGGCAUUGAUGAAUUAGAAGAAUUAAGGAUUCAGCUGAAUUGUUGAUUUCUGCAUUUGCGCUGGUCGCUACUGUCAAUUUGGUCUCAAAAGGAAAGUUUUCAGAUGAUAUCUUGCCUUUGUCAAUUAUAAGGAACUGUAUUGGAUUUGUUUUGGAGAACAUAGUGUUACAUCUUCUCUGUCCGGUGAGAAAAGAGUGCUGUAGGGAAACUAGCAUACUGUUGAUGGAGGCAUUACCUGUCAUCGUCGAAGCUGAAAUAUGAUUUCUAAUGUAGAGGUUAAACACUAUGAAACUGUUUAACUGUUGGUAUAUUCUAACUGUUGAAUCUGAUGUGAAAACUUAUACGCUGGCAAAAUAAUAUGUAUAUCUACUUUAUUCUUGAAUAAUGUUGCUUUAUUGAGUUACAACAUCUACGCCUGAAAACAUAUUUCGUACCUUGAAUGUUCAACAAAUGAGCGGUGACGCUAGGACCACUAAAAAGAUGUCAUCUUUAGCCAGUUAUAUAUGUUCCUACAGUCUGAAAUUUGUUUCUCUUUGACAUGAUAAUAUGAAGGAUUGUCAUUUUCCUUUUU